rnacentral:rRNA from 1 species
AACGAACGCUGGCGGCAUGCCUAACACAUGCAAGUCGAACGAGACCUUCGGGUCUAGUGGCGCACGGGUGCGUAACGCGUGGGAAUCUGCCCUUGGGUUCGGAAUAACAGUUGGAAACGACUGCUAAUACCGGAUGAUGACGUAAGUCCAAAGAUUUAUCGCCCAGGGAUGAGCCCGCGUAGGAUUAGCUAGUUGGUGGGUAAAGGCCUACCAAGGCGACGAUCCUUAGCUGGUCUGAGAGGAUGAUCAGCCACACUGGGACUGAGACACGGCCCAGACUCCUACGGGAGGCAGCAGUGGGGAAUAUUGGACAAUGGGCGAAAGCCUGAUCCAGCAAUGCCGCGUGAGUGAUGAAGGCCUUAGGGUUGUAAAGCUCUUUUACCCGGGAUGAUAAUGACAGUACCGGGAGAAUAAGCCCCGGCUAACUCCGUG